UACGUAGGGACCAAGCGUUGUUCGGAUUUACUGGGCGUAAAGGGCGCGUAGGCGGUUUGUCAAGUCAGUUGUGAAAUCUCCGAGCUUAACUCGGAACGGUCAACUGAUACUGUCAAACUAGAGUACAGAAGGGACAAUCGGAAUUCUUGGUGUAGCGGUGAAAUGCGUAGAUAUCAAGAGGAACACCUGAGGUGAAGACGGGUUGCUGGGCUGAUACUGACGCUGAGGCGCGAAAGCUAGGGUAGCAAACGGG
rnacentral:rRNA from 1 species